rnacentral:rRNA from 1 species
UAAAAUGAGAGUUUGAUCCUGGCUCAGGACGAACGCUGGCGGCGUGCCUAAUACAUGCAAGUCGAGCGAGCGGAACUAACAGAUUUACUUCGGUAAUGACGUUAGGAAAGCGAGCGGCGGAUGGGUGAGUAACACGUGGGGAACCUGCCCCAUAGUCUGGGAUACCACUUGGAAACAGGUGCUAAUACCGGAUAAGAAAGCAGAUCGCAUGAUCAGCUUUUAAAAGGCGGCGUAAGCUGUCGCUAUGGGAUGGCCCCGCGGUGCAUUAGCUAGUUGGUAAGGUAAAGGCUUACCAAGGCGAUGAUGCAUAGCCGAGUUGAGAGACUGAUCGGCCACAUUGGGACUGAGACACGGCCCAAACUCCUACGGGAGGCAGCAGUAGGGAAUCUUCCACAAUGGACGCAAGUCUGAUGGAGCAACGCCGCGUGAGUGAAGAAGGUUUUCGGAUCGUAAAGCUCUGUUGUUGGUGAAGAAGGAUAGAGGUAGUAACUGGCCUUUAUUUGACGGUAAUCAACCAGAAAGUCACGGCUAACUACGUGCCAGCAGCCGCGGUAAUACGUAGGUGGCAAGCGUUGUCCGGAUUUAUUGGGCGUAAAGCGAGCGCAGGCGGAAGAAUAAGUCUGAUGUGAAAGCCCUCGGCUUAACCGAGGAACUGCAUCGGAAACUGUUUUUCUUGAGUGCAGAAGAGGAGAGUGGAACUCCAUGUGUAGCGGUGGAAUGCGUAGAUAUAUGGAAGAACACCAGUGGCGAAGGCGGCUCUCUGGUCUGCAACUGACGCUGAGGCUCGAAAGCAUGGGUAGUGAACAGGAUUAGAUACCCUGGUAGUCCAUGCCGUAAACGAUGAGUGCUAAGUGUUGGGAGGUUUCCGCCUCUCAGUGCUGCAGCUAACGCAUUAAGCACUCCGCCUGGGGAGUACGACCGCAAGGUUGAAACUCAAAGGAAUUGACGGGGGCCCGCACAAGCGGUGGAGCAUGUGGUUUAAUUCGAAGCAACGCGAAGAACCUUACCAGGUCUUGACAUCUAGUGCCAUUUGUAGAGAUACAAAGUUCCCUUCGGGGACGCUAAGACAGGUGGUGCAUGGCUGUCGUCAGCUCGUGUCGUGAGAUGUUGGGUUAAGUCCCGCAACGAGCGCAACCCUUGUUAUUAGUUGCCAGCAUUAAGUUGGGCACUCUAAUGAGACUGCCGGUGACAAACCGGAGGAAGGUGGGGAUGACGUCAAGUCAUCAUGCCCCUUAUGACCUGGGCUACACACGUGCUACAAUGGGCAGUACAACGAGAAGCGAGCCUGCGAAGGCAAGCGAAUCUCUGAAAGCUGUUCUCAGUUCGGACUGCAGUCUGCAACUCGACUGCACGAAGCUGGAAUCGCUAGUAAUCGCGGAUCAGCACGCCGCGGUGAAUACGUUCCCGGGCCUUGUACACACCGCCCGUCACACCAUGGGAGUCUGCAAUGCCCAAAGCCGGUGGCCUAACCUUCGGGAAGGAGCCGUCUAAGGCAGGGCAGAUGACUGGGGUGAAGUCGUAACAAGGUAGCCGUAGGAGAACCUGCGGCUGGAUCACCUCCUUU